UACGUAGGGGGCAAGCGUUGUCCGGAAUCAUUGGGCGUAAAGAGCGUGUAGGCGGCCCGAUAAGUCCGCCGUGAAAGUCCAGGGCUCAACCCUGGAAUGCCGGUGGAAACUGUCGGGCUGGAGUCCGGAAGAGGCGAGUGGAAUUCCUGGUGUAGCGGUGAAAUGCGCAGAUAUCAGGAGGAACACCAAUGGCGAAGGCAGCUCGCUGGGACGGUACUGACGCUGAGACGCGAAAGCGUGGGGAGCAAACGGG
rnacentral:rRNA from 1 species